GGUCUGUGAAAUCUGCCUUUCCUCUAGAGCUCUGCUUGAUCAAUCUCCUACUUUGAAAGAAAAUAAAAGGUAUUUUUUUUUGUCAAUCACUGCAUGAUGUACAUCCAAACAAGAAGAAGGGAAAUGAAGAGUCCCUUCUCUUCCUUAUGGUCCAACUCCUUUCUUUUCUUUUCCCUUCAUUUCCCUCUCAACUUAAAUUGCCAAACAAAGUGGAAAAGAAAAGAACCCAAUCAUUUAGAAGAUCUGAAUUCCGGGGCCUCUUCCUCAUCGACCCGCCUUGCAUGGAGGACAUUACAAAGGCGGAGACAAACAGCAGAAAGGGAAUGACUUCGAAGUGCUCUUGAGCACUCCUCAGGUAAUCAAUGACUCCUUACUCUUCUCUUCCCCUCUGUUUCCAGCUUUGGUUGCUCCAUUUUCUUCUGAUGACUUGUGUGAGAGUUUUUUUUUUUUGAAGUAGCUCCGAAUUGAGUUCUGAUGAGUUUUUGAUCUGGGAUUAUAUAUAUGUAUGUUUUCUGUUUCCUGCUUUCUUUUGAGUCUCUGCUUCAUCAAUCUCUUUUACUCUUUGAAUUAGUAUAAUCCUCUCGAGGUGGAAAAAGAAAAACCCAC
rnacentral:lncRNA from 1 species